rnacentral:rRNA from 1 species
GACGUAGGAUGCAAGCGUUGUCCGGAUUUAUUGGGCGUAAAGAGUUCGUAGGCGGUUUAUUAAGUCUGGUGUUAAAGACUGGGGCUCAACCUCGGGACAGCACUGGAUACUGGUAGGCUGGAGUGUGGUAGAGGCAAGCGGAAUUCCAGGUGUAGCGGUGAAAUGCGUAGAUAUCUGGAAGAACACCGGUGGCGUAAGCGGCUUGCUGGGCCAUAACUGACGCUGAGGAACGAAAGCUAGGGUAGCGAAUGGG